rnacentral:hammerhead_ribozyme from 1 species
GCAUUGCUGAGGAGUUCCAUAAUAGGACGAAACGGCCUUCUAGUGC